rnacentral:rRNA from 1 species
GACGUAGGGCGCGAGCGUUGUCCGGAUUUAUUGGGCGUAAAGAGCUCGUAGGCGGCUUGUCGCGUCGUCCGUGAAAACCUGGGGCUCAACCCCAGGCUUGCGGUCGAUACGGGCAGGCUAGAGUUCGGUAGGGGAGACUGGAAUUCCUGGUGUAGCGGUGAAAUGCGCAGAUAUCAGGAGGAACACCGGUGGCGAAGGCGGGUCUCUGGGCCUUACCUGACGCUGAGGAGCGAAAGCGUGGGGAGCGAACAGG